rnacentral:rRNA from 1 species
GGGGAUGACGUCAAGUCCUCAUGGCCCUUAUAGGUAGGGCUACACACGUCAUACAAUGGAUGGUACAAAGGGUCGCCAACCCGCGAGGGGGAGCCAAUCCCAUAAAGCCAUUCGUAGUCCGGAUCGCAGUCUGCAACUCGACUGCGUGAAGUCGGAAUCGCUAGUAAUCGUGGAUCAGAAUGUCACGGUGAAUACGUUCCCGGGUCUUGUACACACCGCCCGUCACACCAUGGGAGCGGGUUCUGCCAGAAGUAGUUAGCCUAACCGCAAGGAGGGCGAUUACCACGGCAGGGUUCGUGACUGGGGUGAAGUCGUAACAAGGUAGCCGUAUCGGAAGGUGCGGCUGGAUCACCUCCUUUCUG